rnacentral:rRNA from 1 species
GACGAACGCUGGCGGCGUGCCUAAUUCAUGCAAGUCGAACGAGAGCAACCGGUGCUUGCACUGGUCAAUCUAGUGGCGAACGGGUGAGUAACACGUGGGUAACCUGCCCAUCAGAGGGGGAUAACAUCCGGAAACGGAUGCUAACACCGCAUAGGUCUUCGAACCGCAUGGUUUGAAGAGGAAAAGAGGCGCAAGCUUCUGCUGAUGGAUGGACCCGCGGUGCAUUAGCUAGUUGGUGAGGUAACGGCUCACCAAGGCCGUGAUGCAUAGCCGACCUGAGAGGGUGAUCGGCCACAUUGGGACUGAGACACGGCCCAAACUCCUACGGGAGGCAGCAGUAGGGAAUCUUCCGCAAUGGACGCAAGUCUGACGGAGCAACGCCGCGUGAGUGAAGAAGGUUUUCGGAUCGUAAAACUCUGUUGUUAGAGAAGAACAAGUGCUAGAGUAACUGUUAGCGCCUUGACGGUAUCUAACCAGAAAGCCACGGCUAACUACGUG